UGACGGUCACAUCACGUUGAAAUACCGGUUCCCGUCCGAUCACAGAAGUUGAGCAACGUCGAGCCUGGUCAAUAGCUAGAAUGGUGACUGGUUGGGAAUACCAGGUACUGUAA